AUUUUGACAUCUUUGUUAUUCUAUAGGUAGUGUUAUUUCAGGGCAGGAAUCAGAGAAAUGGAUGUGGAUACAAGGUUGAAUGAGGCCUUAUACUUAUGACAAAAUAAUCAAUGAGCUAUGUUUUAUAGUCUCAUUUUCUAUGGACCAAGUAGUAAGAGGUAAACUGAAGGUUGUAUGUAAAGAUUAAGUUUCUUAUCAUAAAAUGUUGGCAACCAGCUACAAUAGGGUAAAGGCUUCUUAUACAUAGAAUCCAUACAAAAAGCAUAUUGAAUAUCAUUCACAAUUUUAUUAACAUUAUAUAAUUCAUGAAAAACUGAGUUUACAACAACAUAUGCCUAAUAACAAGGUCUGGGGACAUUGUACACUCUCCAAUAUAGACAUAUUUAUACCAAUACAUGAAACUAUACUAAAUGAGAAGAAAAAUCAAUUGGAUCAACACAGAACAAUAUACAAAUGAAAACUUGUAAAGAUUUAAGCAAGAGACUAAUGGUAGAUGAAGUGUGGCUUCCAAAUGGUUUGGGAAAAAUGGACAUAGAAUCAGUUAAAGGUAAUUGAAGAAAGAUAAGUUACCCACUUUUAGUUAGAACAGCAUUUGAAAGAAAAAAGAGUCACAAAGUAAGCAAAGAUUAUUCAAAUCCAUUUGUAUUCUUUGUAGUAUUUUCCAAAAGUUUUCUACAUAUUUUAUUGCAGUCAAAUUGGGAAACAAUCCAGAAAGUUAAAAAAGACAUGUAUUGCUCCUCUGGUUUUAAAAGCAAGAAAAGGAAUAGAGAGAGAUUUAUUGAGCUAGAAAAAAUUACUAAUUAGAGGUUUUUAAAAAAAAGAACUCAGAUUACCAGAGUCUAAGUAUAAUGUAUUUCAGCCAUCCCUGGCUUCACAGGGCAUUUUCCCUUACCAAAGAAUUUGUUCACUUACAUACAGCUUAAAGAACAUUGCUGUUUUUAAUCAGUCUUUUUCAUUAAUAACAAUGAUGUACCUUUCAACAGUUUCCAGCCACAAAAAUACACAAUUUCAGAAAUCUUCUGGUUCAUCCUCCAUAUAUUCUGCCACAAUAUUCAUGAGGACAAGAUAAUAUAAACCUUUUGGCAGCCCCAUCAAGGCAUUCACUUCUUUUAAUUUUAAGGCCAAACAUAUAAUGCAUAGAAAAGUAUG
rnacentral:lncRNA from 1 species